CCAGCCGCCGCGGUAAUACAUAGGGAGCAAGCGUUAUCCGGAAUUAUUGGGCGUAAAGAGUGCGUAGGUGGUUUAUUAAGUCUGGUGUGAAAUUUCACGGCUUAACUGUGAAGGGUCAUUGGAAACUGGUAAACUUGAGUACGGUAGAGGUGAGUGGAAUUCCAAGUGGAGCGGUGGAAUGCGUAGAUAUUUGGAGGAACACCAAUGGCGAAGGCAGCUCACUGGGCCGGAACUGACACUGAUGCACGAAAGCGUGGGGAGCAAACAGGAUUAGAUACCCUGGUAGUCCACGCCGUAAACGAUGAGUAUUAAGUGUCGGAUGUAAAUUCGGUGCUGCAGUUAACACAAUAAAUACUCCGCCUGGGGAGUACGGUCGCAAGACUGAAACUCAAAGGAAUUGACGGGGACUCGCACAAGCGGUGGAGCAUGCGGUUUAAUUCGAUGCAACGCGAAAAACCUUACCAGGUCUUGACAUCCCACUGACUGGUCUAGAGAUAGGCCUUCCCUUCGGGGCAGUGGAGACAGGUGGUGCAUGGUUGUCGUCAGCUCGUGUCGUGAGAUGUUGGGUUAAGUCCCACAACGAGCGCAACCCUUAUCAUUAGUUGCUAACAUUAAGUUGAGAACUCUAAUGAGACCGCCGGUGAUAAACCGGAUGAAGGUGGGGAUGACGUCAAAUCAUCAUGCCCCUUAUGACCUGGGCUACACGCGUGCUACAAUGGCUAGUACAAAGAGUUGCAAUACCGUGAGGUGGAGCUAAUCUCAUAAAACUAGUCUCAGUUCGGAUUGUAGUCUGCAACUCGACUACAUGAAGUUGGAAUCGCUAGUAAUCGCAAAUCAGCAUGUUGCGGUGAAUACGUUCUCGAGUCUUGUACACACCGCCCGUCAUACCAUGAGAGUCUGUAAUACCCGAAGCCGGUGGCCUAACCGCAAGGAGGGAGCCGUCUAAGGUAGGACAGAUGAUUGGGGUAAAGUCGUAACAAGGUA
rnacentral:rRNA from 1 species